ensembl:lncRNA
AGACAGACAGACUGGACAGACAGACAGACUACACUAGACAGACAGACUACACUAGACAUAUAGACUGGACAGACAGACAGACUACACUAGACAUAUAGACUGAACAGACAGACAGACUACACUAGAUAUAUAGACUGGACAGACAGACUACACUAGACAUAUAGACUGGACAGACAGACAGACUACACUAGACAUAUAGACUGGACAGACAGACAGACAGACUACACUAGACAUAUAGACUGGACAGACAGACAGACUACACUUGACAUAUAGACUGGACAGACAGACAGAGACUACACUAGACAGACAGACUGCACAGACAGACAGACUACACUAGACAUAUAGACUGAACAGACAGACAGACUACACUAGAUAUAUAGACUGGACAGACAGACUACACUAGACAUAUAGACUGGACAGACAGACAGACUACACUAGACAUAUAGACUGGACAGACAGACAGACUGCACUAGACAUAUAGACUGGACAGACAGACUACACUAGACAUAUAGACUGGACAGACAGACAGACUACUACACUAGACAUAUAGACUGGACAGACAGACAGAGACUACACUAGACAUAUAGACUGGACAUACAGACAGACUAGACUAGACUGGACAGACAGACUACACUAGACAGACAGACUGGACAGACAGACAGACUACACUAGACAUAUAGACUGGACAGACAGACUACACUAGACAGACAGACUGGACAGACAGACAGACUACACUAGACAUAUAGACUGGACAGACAGACUACACUAGACAUAUAGACUGGACAGACAGACUACACUAGACAUAUAGACUGGACAGACAGACAGACUACACUAGACAUAUAGACUGGACAGACAGACUACACUAGACAUAUAGACUGGACAGACAGACAGACUAGACAUAUAGACUGGACAGACAGACUACACUAGACAUAUAGACUGGACAGACAGACUACACUAGACAGACAGACUACACUAGACAUAUAGACUGGACAGACAGACUACACUAGACAUACAGUGGGGAGAACAUGUAUUUGAUACACUGCCGUUUUUGCAGGUUUUCCUACUUACAAAGCAUUUUAUUGCAUGACAUAAGGAUUUGAUCACCUACCAACCAGUAAGAAUUCCGGCUCUCACAGACCUGUUAGUUUUUCUUUAAGAAGCCCUCCUGUUCUCCACUCAUUACCUGUAUUAACUGCACCUGUUUGAACUAGUUACCUGUAUAAAAGACACAUGUCCACACACUCAAUCAAACAGACUCCAACCUCUCCACAAUGGCCAAGACCAGAGAGCUGUGUAAGGACAUCAGGGAUAAAAUUGUAGACCUGCACAAGGCUGGGAUGGGCUACAGGACAAUAGGCAAGCAGCUUGGUGAGAAGGCAACAACUGUUGGAGCAAUUAUUGGAAAAUGGAUGAAGUUCAAGAUGAGGGUCAAUCACCCUCAGUCUGGGGCUCCAUGCAAGAUCUCACCUCGGUGGGGCAUCAAUGAUCAUCAUAAUUAAUGCAAAUUAAUUACUUAAAAAUCAUACAAUGUGAUUUUCUGGAUUUUUGUUUUAGAUUCCAUCUCUCACAGUUGAAGUGUACCUAUGAUAAAAAAUUACAGACCUCUACAUGCUUUGUAAGUAGGAAAACCUGCAAAAUCGGCAGUGUAUCAAAUACUUGUUCUCCCCAUUGUAUAUACUGUGCUGGACAGACAGACAGACUGGGAUGUACAGAGAGACAGACUAUACUGGACAGACAGACACAUUUACUGGGCUGUCAAGCGUAGUCUGUCUGUCUAGUAUGUCUGUCUUUCCAGUGUAGUCUCUCUCUCUGUCUCUCUCUCUCUUUCAAUUGUUCAAGUCAAUUCCAUUUGCGUUAUUGGCAUGAUGUAAGAAUGUACAUAUUGCCAAAGCUUACUUUGGAGAUUUACAAUAUUAACAUAAUUAAUAAUAAUAAUGAUCAAUAUUGUCAACAGUAACAACAAUAAUCAACAAUACAUUGAACAAUAACUUUAAACAGGUUGAUUGGUCUGUCAGACACUGUCCCUCAUCUAUUGGCUGGCAGCAAUGUAGUGUGCUGCCAACCCACAGCUCUCUGUGUCCUCCCCCAACAGGACGGGUAGCCUGUCCUCAUCAGAGAGGUCUUUGAAAUCUUGAAUAAGGUUUUACAUUUGGGGAAAUGACACUCUCUAUUUGUUUUAUAUUUUUGACAUUUUGUCAGGAAAUGCAGCUCCGUCUCAGGUUCUGCUGUGGUGCAGACCUUUCCCCUAUAGGUUUUCCUGUUGUGAAGUGGUGUAGUGGUUGCACAGCCUUUCCUCUACAGGGAGCCAGGUUUUCCUGUUGUGAAGUGGUGUAGUGGUUGCACAGCCUUUCCUCUACAGGGAGACAGGUUUUCCUGUUGUGAAGUGGUGUAGUGGUUGCACAGCCUUUCCUCUACAGGGAGACAGGUUUUCCUGUUGUGCAGUGGUGUAGUGGUUGCACAGCCUUUCCUCUACAGGGAGACAGGUUUUCCUGUUGUGAAGUGGUGUAGUGGUUGCACAGCCUUUCCUCUACAGGGAG